ACCUAAAUAGCUUAUAAUUAGAGCUUGACACUGAAGAUGUUAAGGAAGUAUUUUUACUUUUAGGUA
rnacentral:tRNA from 1 species